rnacentral:lncRNA from 1 species
UAUGUUUAAACCCUAUUAACUGAAAAUUUUAUUCUUCAUCUUUGAUUUCAAUGACCAUUUUAUGUUUAAUCCCUGGCCAUGAACACAUGCAUAAUCUACAUGUAACUGUGGGCGAAGUAUGCAAAAUUAUGCGCAGACUAUGUAAAAGGAUUAAAUGUAAAAUGCUAAUUGUAUAAGAACAAAAUGCAAAAUACCAAUCAAAUAGAGGUUAUAGCAAUCCAUGCAUAGAAAGAUGACCCGUGAUCGCAUGGGGCCCAUGCAGUACAUGUGACUGUGCAUUGUGCACUUGGAGCCAAUGUGAUCAUAGGCU